UACGGGGGGGGUAAGCGUUGUUCGGAAUUACUGGGCGUAAAGGGCUCGUAGGCGGCCAACUAAGUCGGACGUGAAAUCCCUCAGCUUAACUGGGGAACUGCGUCCGAUACUGGAUGGCUUGGAUUUGGGAGAGGGAUGCGGAAUUCCAGGUGUAGCGGUGAAAUGCGUAGAUAUCUGGAGGAACACCGGUGGCGAAGGCGGCAUCCUGGACCAUGACUGACGCUGAGGAGCGAAAGCCAGGGGAGCAAACGGG
rnacentral:rRNA from 1 species